GUGCUUGCUUCAGCAGCAUAUAUACUAAAAUAGGAACAAUUUAGAGAAGAUUAGCAUGGCCCCUGCACCGGGAUAACAUGAAAUUCGUGAAACAGUCCAUAUUUUU
rnacentral:snRNA from 1 species